ACGCUCGACACCUACGGGAGGCAGCAGUGGGGAAUAUUGCACAAUGGGGGAAACCCUGAUGCAGCGACGCCGCGUGAGCGAAGAAGUAUUUCGGUAUGUAAAGCUCUAUCAGCAGGGAANAAACUGACGGUACCUGACUAAGAAGCACCGGCUAAAUACGUGCCAACAGCCGCGGUAAUCUGAGCGGCUGGCAAGGC
rnacentral:rRNA from 1 species